ACUCUUUUUGUCCUGACAGCUUUGGAACCUGACAUCUUUUUCUGUUUCCAUGUUGGCAGGUUGGCAGCCUCAAAGGUCUUUACACCCUGAAAGACAGCAGGGGGCGCUCAAACAGAACCUGCUUUGAGGAUGGACUUGCUUCUGCAGUGGGGGUUCACUGGGUUCAGAGGCAGUACUGUCAUUACAGAGAAAAGAGGGAUCUUCUGAGGGGACUGAAGCUCAGGACUGCACACAGCUCCCAGAGGACAGAGUCUGCAGCUGACAACCCGCCUGAGGAGAGCAAGAGUGACCAGACCCUCACCUUCAACGACCCGCUUUGGCCCUUGCAGUGGGAACUGGUGGGUGGAUUUAUGUUUGUGUGUGUGUCUGGAGACCCCCCCCCCAACUCUCGUCUUGUCUUCA
rnacentral:lncRNA from 1 species